rnacentral:rRNA from 1 species
AUUGAACGCUGGCGGCAGGCCUAACACAUGCAAGUCGAACGAGUGGCGGACGGGUGAGUAAUGUCUGGGAAACUGCCUGAUGGAGGGGGAUAACUACUGGAAACGGUAGCUAAUACCGCAUACCAUCAGAUGUGCCCAGAGGGGAUGGGAUAGUUGUGGGGGUAACGGCUCACAAAGGAGACGAUCCCUAGCUGGUCUGAGGGGAUGACCAGCUCCACUGGAACUGAGACACGGUCCAGACUCCUACGGGAGGCAGCAGUGGGGAAUAUUGCACAAUGGGCGCAAGCCUGAUGCAGCCAUGCCGCGUGUCUGAAGAAGGCCUUCGGGUUGUAAAGUACUUUCAGCGGGGAGGCGUUACCCGCAGAAGAAGCACCGGCUAACUCCGUGCCAGCAGCCGCGGUAAUAC